rfam:Parcubacteria (Wolfebacteria) bacterium GW2011_GWC2_39_22 TT41_C0003, whole genome shotgun sequence.
AGGGACAAAAGUAAGGGCGUAUGGAGGAUGCCUUGACUAAGAAAGGCGAUGAAGGACGCGGCGUAACUGCGAUAAGCUUCGGGGAGGUGUGUAGCAACCUUUGAUCCGGAGAUUUCCGAAUGGGGAAACCCAAUACAGCAAACCUGUAUUACCUGAGCACUAGAUGCCAGGAGCGCACCCGCUGAAGUGAAACAUCUCAGUAAGCGGAGGAGUAGAAAACAAAAGUAAUUCCCCUAGUAGCGGCGAGCGAAACGGGAGGAGCCCAAACCGACAGAUAUUUAUAUCCAUCGGGGUUGUAGGGCAGAAACAUUUUUCUUUCUAAAAGCAGGAACAUGAUUCUUCAUGGAUCUGCUUUUGGGAGGAGAAGGGGAGUAAAAAAUUCAUUGGUUAGUCGAAGUUGCUGGAAAGCAACGCCAGAGCGGGUGAUAGCCCCGUAGACGAAAACUAAUGAACUCUCUCGUUUCUGUUCCUGAGUAUCUCAGUAAAUGAAUAAGCUGAGAGAAUCCACCAGAACUAUCUGGUAAGGCUAAAUACUUUCUUAGAUCGAUAGUGAACUAGUACCGCGAGGGAAAGGUGAAAAGCAGGCCGAG